GAUGAACGCUAGCGGCAGGCUUAAUACAUGCAAGUCGUGGGGCAGCAUGAGUGUAGCAAUACAUUUGAUGGCGACCGGCAAACGGGUGCGGAACACGUACACAACCUUCCUAUAAGUGGGGAAUAGCCCAGAGAAAUUUGGAUUAAUACCCCGUAACAUAAUGAUGUGGCAUCACAUUAUUAUUAUAGCUUCGGCGCUUAUUGAUGGGUGUGCGGCUGAUUAGAUAGUUGGCGGGGUAACGGCCCACCAAGUCUACGAUCAGUAGCUGAUGUGAGAGCAUGAUCGGCCACACGGGCACUGAGACACGGGCCCGACUCCUACGGGAGGCAGCAGUAAGGAAUAUUGGUCAAUGGACGCAAGUCUGAACCAGCCAUGCCGCGUGAAGGAUUAAGGUCCUCUGGAUUGUAAACUUCUUUUAUCUGGGACGAAAAAAGGCGAUUCUUCGUCACUUGACGGUACCAGAUGAAUAAGCACCGGCUAACUCCGUGCCAGCCGCCGCAGUAAAAC
rnacentral:rRNA from 1 species